rnacentral:rRNA from 1 species
GACGAACGCUGGCGGCGUGCUUAACACAUGCAAGUCGAACGGAAAGGCCCUGCUUUUGUGGCAUGCUCGAGUGGCGAACAGGUGAGUAACACGUGAGUAACCUGCCCUUUACUUUGGGGUAACUUCAGGAAACUGGGGCUAAUACCGGAUAUGAGCUCCUGCUGCAUAGUGGGGGUUGGAAAGUUUCGGCGGUUGGGGAUGGACUCGCGGCUUAUCAGCUUGUUGGUGGGGUAGUGGCUUACAAAGGCUUUGACGGGUAGCCGGCCUGAGAGGGUGACCGGCCACAUUGGGAUUGAGAUACGGGCCAGACGCCUACGGGAGGCAGAAGUGGGGAAUAGUGCAAAAUGGGCGGAAGGCUGAUGCAGCAACGCCGCGUGCGGGAUGACGGCCUUCGGGUUGUAAACCGCGUGCGCCUGUGACGAAGCGUGAGUGACGGUAAUGGGUAAAGAAGCACCGGCUAACUACGUG